UGAGUAACACGUGGACAAUCUGCCCCCCGGCCCGGGAUAGCCCAGGGAAACCUGGAUUAAUACCGGAUGAGACGGGACCCGCGAUGGCGGGAUCCGGGAAAGGCGCUGCGGCGCCGCCGGGGGAUGAGUCUGCGUCCCAUUAGCUAGACGGCGGGUAACGGCCCACCGUGGCGACGAUGGGUAGCCGGCCUGAGAGGGUGGACGGCCACAUUGGAACUGAGACACGGUCCAGACUCCUACGGGAGGCAGCAGCUAAGAAUCUUCCGCAAUGGGCGAAAGCCUGACGGAGACCGACGCCGCGUGAACGAAGAAGGCCGUGAGGUUGUAAAGUUCUUUUCGGGAGGGGGAACAACCGUGGCAGGGAAUGGCCGCGGGAUGACGUGAAUCCCGGAAUAAGCCCCGGCUAACUACGUGCCAGCCGCCGC
rnacentral:rRNA from 1 species